AGUGAACGCUGGCGGUAGGCCUAACACAUGCAAGUCGAACGGCAGCACAGUAAGAGCUUGCUCUUACGGGUGGCGAGUGGCGGACGGGUGAGGAAUACAUCGGAAUCUACUUUUUCGUGGGGGAUAACGUAGGGAAGCUUACGCUAAUACCGCAUACGACCUACGGGUGAAAGCAGGGGAUCUUCGGACCUUGCGCGAUUGAAUGAGCCGAUGUCGGAUUAGCUAGUUGGCGGGGUAAAGGCCCACCAAGGCGACGAUCCGUAGCUGGUCUGAGAGGAUGAUCAGCCAACGUGAAGAUGAGAAAGGGCCCAGAACCCAAGGGGGGGCAGGGGGGGGGAAUUUUGGAAAAGGGGCGAAAGCCUGAACCGGCUAAACGGGGGGGGGGAAGAAGGCCUUCGGGGUGUAAAGCCCUUUUGUUGGGAAAAAAAAGCAGCAGGUUAAACCCCCGGUGUUUGGACGGACCCCAAAGAAAAAGCCCCGGCAAACUUGGG
rnacentral:rRNA from 1 species